CAUGCAAGUCGAGGGGCAUCAGGACUUUAGCUUGCUUUCUUUGCUGGCGACCGGCGCACGGGUGAGUAACACGUAUCCAACCUGCCCUUUACUCGGGGAUAGCCUUUCGAAAGAAAGAUUAAUACCCGAUAGCAUAAUGAUUCCGCAUGGUUUCAUUAUUAAAGGAUUCCGGUAAAGGAUGGGGAUGCGUUCCAUUAGGUUGUUGGUGAGGUAACGGCUCACCAAGCCUUCGAUGGAUAGGGGUUCUGAGAGGAAGGUCCCCCACAUUGGAACUGAGACACGGUCCAAACUCCUACGGGAGGCAGCAGUGAGGAAUAUUGGUCAAUGGGCGCUAGCCUGAACCAGCCAAGUAGCGUGAAGGAUGAAGGCUCUAUGGGUCGUAAACUUCUUUUAUAUAAGAAUAAAGUGCAGUAUGUAUACUGUUUUGUAUGUAUUAUAUGAAUAAGGAUCGGCUAACUCCGUGCCAGCAGCCGCGGUAAUACGGAGGAUCCGAGCGUUAUCCGGAUUUAUUGGGUUUAAAGGGAGCGUAGGUGGACUGGUAAGUCAGUUGUGAAAGUUUGCGGCUCAACCGUAAAAUUGCAGUUGAUACUGUCAGUCUUGAGUACAGUAGAGGUGGGCGGAAUUCGUGGUGUAGCGGUGAAAUGCUUAGAUAUCACGAAGAACUCCGAUUGCGAAGGCAGCUCACUGGACUGCAACUGACACUGAUGCUCGAAAGUGUGGGUAUCAAACAGGAUUAGAUACCCUGGUAGUCCACACAGUAAACGAUGAAUACUCGCUGUUUGCGAUAUACAGUAAGCGGCCAAGCGAAAGCAUUAAGUAUUCCACCUGGGGAGUACGCCGGCAACGGUGAAACUCAAAGGAAUUGACGGGGGCCCGCACAAGCGGAGGAACAUGUGGUUUAAUUCGAUGAUACGCGAGGAACCUUACCCGGGCUUAAAUUGCAGUGGAAUGAUGUGGAAACAUGUCAGUGAGCAAUCACCGCUGUGAAGGUGCUGCAUGGUUGUCGUCAGCUCGUGCCGUGAGGUGUCGGCUUAAGUGCCAUAACGAGCGCAACCCUUAUCUUUAGUUACUAACAGGUCAUGCUGAGGACUCUAGAGAGACUGCCGUCGUAAGAUGUGAGGAAGGUGGGGAUGACGUCAAAUCAGCACGGCCCUUACGUCCGGGGCUACACACGUGUUACAAUGGGGGGUACAGAAGGCAGCUAGCGGGUGACCGUAUGCUAAUCCCAAAAGCCUCUCUCAGUUCGGAUCGAAGUCUGCAACCCGACUUCGUGAAGCUGGAUUCGCUAGUAAUCGCGCAUCAGCCACGGCGCGGUGAAUACGUUCCCGGGCCUUGUACACACCGCCCGUCAAGCCAUGGGAGCCGGGGGUACCUGAAGUACGUAAAAGCAAGGAUCGUCCUAGGGUAAAACUGGUGACUGGGGC
rnacentral:rRNA from 1 species